rnacentral:rRNA from 1 species
CGCGGCCUAUCAGCUUGUUGGUGGGGUAACGGCCCACCAAGGCAUCGACGGGUAGCUGGUCUGAGAGGACGAUCAGCCACACUGGGACUGAGACACGGCCCAGACUCCUACGGGAGGCAGCAGUGGGGAAUAUUGCGCAAUGGGCGAAAGCCUGACGCAGCAACGCCGCGUGGGGGAUGAAGGCCUUCGGGUUGUAAACCCCUUUCAGCAGGGACGAAAAUGACGGUACCUGCAGAAGAAGCCCCGGCCAACUACGUGCCAGCAGCCGCGGUAACACGUAGGGGGCAAGCGUUGUCCGGAUUUAUUGGGCGUAAAGAGCUCGUAGGCGGUUGCGUAAGUCGGAUGUGAAAACUCAGGGCUCAACCCGGAGACGCCAUCCGAUACUGCGCUGACUAGAGUCCGGUAGAGGAGCAUGGAAUUCCUGGUGUAGCGGUGAAAUGCGCAGAUAUCAGGAGGAACACCAGUGGCGAAGGCGGUGCUCUGGGCCGGUACUGACGCUGAGGAGCGAAAGCGUGGGUAGCGAACAGGAUUAGAUACCCUGGUAGUCCACGCCGUAAACGUUGGGCACUAGGUGUGGGGCCUCCUUAACGGGUUCCGUGCCGCAGCUAACGCAUUAAGUGCCCCGCCUGGGGAGUACGG